rnacentral:rRNA from 1 species
AGUAGUCACGAGUUUGAUCAUGGCUCAGGAUGAACGCUAGCGGCAGGCUUAACACAUGCAAGUCGAGGGGUAUUGGUUUUCGGACCAAGAGACCGGCGCACGGGUGCGUAACGCGUAUGCAAUCUACCUUUGCAGAGGGAUAGCCCAGAGAAAUUUGGAUUAAUACCUCAUAGUAUAGUACUUUGGCAUCAAGGAACUAUUAAAGUCACAACGGCAAAAGAUGAGCAUGCGUCCCAUUAGCUAGAUGGUAAGGUAACGGCUUACCAUGGCAAUGAUGGGUAGGGGUCCUGAGAGGGAGAUCCCCCACACUGGGACUGAGACACGGCCCAGACUCCUACGGGAGGCAGCAGUGGGGAAUUUUCCACAAUGGGCGAAAGCCUGAUGGAGCAAUACCGCGUGGAGGAAGAAGGAUCGUGGUCCGUAAACUCCUUUUCUUAAGGAAGAAACAAUGACGGUACUUAAGGAAUAAGCACCGGCUAACUCUGUG